AAUAACAUGUAUUAAUAUUCUAAAAAAUUUUUAAUUUAUUCUAUAGUAUUUUUUAUAUGUUCCUUUACUUUUAUGUAUUUUAUGUUUGUUUUUUUAGUUUAUAUGUAUUUUAAAAGAGAAGAGCUUUGCACAGCAACUAUAUUGUCUUGCAUUAAAUUAAUAAAGGAAAUAAGUUAUAUUCAUGAGUAAAGUGAAUCAUUUAUAAGAAAUAAAGUAAAAUACGAGGGAUGUUUCUUUUUCAACCUCCGAUGGUCCAUAAAACAAAGACAAAUAUAAAUAACAAAAUGAAUUUAUUAAAGUUGGGUACAAACAUGGUUACUUUUUCAACAUAAUCACCAUGAAGAUUCCUAGUGAAGGGGUAAAUGAUUCCUAGCUUCUUGUGACAAAGCAUGUGGACAACAAAAUGCCUCACAACUUAAAUGAAUAUUGUAGAAUGAUGGCUGCAGAUACUCUAAGUAUUGUAUUUUAAAAUCACAAAUACAGGAUUUUAAAUACAAAAAUUACUGUAGUUGCACCCUGUCAAAAGAAAAGAUCAAAACUUAUCCAGACUUUACAAACCAUUGUUGAAACAAUACAGGCACUGUGUUGAAACUAGCUUAAAUACUACCAAUACCUAUGCGAGAUGAUGAAUUUUUAGGGAAAUUAUUCUAGAAAAUGGAUAGAAAAACGUUAAAAAUUAAAUAUAAGUCGGAAUUUUUAUCAAAGUUACACAUCAAAGAGAACCAGGAACAAAUGUUUUCUGUGUUGGCAGUCAGAGUUCCUGAGAGAGAUCUUUAUCUCCCAUGACUAAAUGGCUGACUAAAACCCAAAAGACUCAUCAUGACACCCAGUCAGAUGAUCCUUAAGCUCAAUCUCUAUUAGAAGAGAUCUGGAGAAAUUGAAAAGAAUAAAUAGGGAUAUGCACUAAACUCGGGACACUUCAGCUCUUCAGUGCCUCAGCAUGUCCUUGUUUAACUAAGUGCCAUAAUUCCUCAUACAGGUAACUUCCACCCAAGAUUAUGAUUCACAUAGUUCACGUUAUCACAGAGGGGAUGCCAGGAAUACUAUUUCUGAGAAAUCUCCAUUUGGAGAAAUUACAAAGACAGAGACUUCCCAUUGACAGUUCAUGCCUUUACAUACAGAUAUUAAAACUAUGCAAUUGACCAGCAUGCUGCAUAUAACCGAGGAGACCAGCAUACCAAAAACCCUGGAUUACAGGAAUACCCGUUAAACUUCAGCUAAAAAUAAAAUUAUUCAGAUCUAACAAAACUAGUUGUUAAAUAAAUGUUAAAAAAAACAUUCUUUCCAGUACAAUAAAAUAACAUUGCAAUUUGAUUCAUUUAUGACAGUUUUUGUUUACAAGGUAAUAAAACAAUUAGGGACUUAUUGGCGGUAGUAGUAGUAAGUCAGUGUAGACUGCAUUGAAUCUGCCACAAAAGUAAUAGUUUUACUGGUACUACCCUGACCUUGAAAAAUAAUACCUUCCUCUCAAAUUUUACACAAAACAGAUGUUAAUCCUGCAAAUUGAGAUAACUUACACUGAGUUUCUGAAAUUUGAUAUGUUUGUUUUUGCAUUUUAAAUCAAAUUAUAAUAAAAUAAACAAACCCUUUGGACAUUCCAUGAGUAUUUUUAAUCAUUAGAAAGAAGACAAUAUGCAGAAAUUAAACAUAUAAUCAGUUUUUGGUGUAAUGACAACAGCUUCACAAUUUCAGAAUAAAAACUGGCAUCUAUGAGAUGCCACAUGAUGUAAAUCAUUUCAUUUUUUUACAUGCACUCUAGAAAGGUAUAUAUAACCUUACAUAAAAUUGGCAUGUCGGCAUUUCCAUGGGAUAAACCAGCAUGCUGAUUUUUACCAUAUGGAGGGGUAUCUGAUUUCAUGGUCUCACCUGGAUAGAUCAACAUGCCAGACAAUCCAUGAAAAUAUGGUAAAAUAUUGUCCAGAAUCAAAUAUAUCCAAUUUUAAUUUCCUGGCUGUUAUAACACAGGAAAGUAUUGUAAACAUGUCAAAUUUUACCCUCUAAGUUUCUCUGUAAAUCUCAACAUCUUGAGACCCUCUGAACCACAUACACACUGUCUCUGUGUGUGUCUAUAUGUGUGCAUGCAUCUAUUUUGUUUAAUGUCUUGGGAUAGAGUCAAGAUUACAAAAUUAAAUUUGGCAUAU